rnacentral:rRNA from 1 species
GACGAACGCUGGCGGCGUGCUUAACACAUGCAAGUCGAACGGAAAGGCCCUGCUUUUGUGGGGUGCUCGAGUGGCGAACGGGUGAGUAACACGUGAGUUACCUGCCCUUGACUUUGGGAUAACUUCAGGAAACUGGGGCUCAUACCGGAUAGGAGCUCCUGCUGCAUGGUGGGGGUUGGAAAGUUUGGGCGGUUGGGGAUGGACUCGCGGCUUAUCAGCUUGUUGGUGGGGUAGUGGCUUACCAAGGCUUUGACGGGUAGCCGGCCUGGGUGGGGGACCGGCAACAUGGGGCUGGGGAUACGGCCCGGCCUCCUAGGGGAGGCAGCAGGGGGGAAUAUUGCACAAUGGGCGGAAGCCGGAUGCAGCAACGCCGCGUGCGGGAUAACGGCCUUCGGGUUGUAAACCGCUUUCGCCGGUGACGAAGCGUGAGUGACGGUAAUGGGUAAAGAAGCACCGGCUAACUACGUG